UACGUAGGGUGCGAGCGUUGUCCGGAAUUAUUGGGCGUAAAGAGCUCGUAGGCGGCCUGUCGCGUCGGAUGUGAAAGCCCGGGGCUUAACCCCGGGUCUGCAUUCGAUACGGGCAGGCUAGAGUGUGGUAGGGGAGAUCGGAAUUCCUGGUGUAGCGGUGAAAUGCGCAGAUAUCAGGAGGAACACCGGUGGCGAAGGCGGGUCUCUGGGCCGAAACUGACGCUGAGGAGCGAAAGCGUGGGGAGCAAACAGG
rnacentral:rRNA from 1 species